rnacentral:hammerhead_ribozyme from 1 species
GCACUACUGAGGAGUUCAACAACAGGACGAAACGGUUGUCUAGUGC